rnacentral:rRNA from 1 species
AUGCAAGUCGAGCGGAUGAAAGGAGCUUGCUCCUGGAUUCAGCGGCGGACGGGUGAGUAAUGCCUAGGAAUCUGCCUGGUAGUGGGGGACAACGUUUCGAAAGGAACGCUAAUACCGCAUACGUCCUACGGGAGAAAGCAGGGGACCUUCGGGCCUUGCGCUAUUAGAUGAGCCUAGGUCGGAUUAGCUAGUUGGUGAGGUAAUGGCUCACCAAGGCGACGAUCCGUAACUGGUCUGAGAGGAUGAUCAGUCACACUGGAACUGAGACACGGUCCAGACUCCUACGGGAGGCAGCAGUGGGGAAUAUUGGACAAUGGGCGAAAGCCUGAUCCAGCCAUGCCGCGUGUGUGAAGAAGGUCUUCGGAUUGUAAAGCACUUUAAGUUGGGAGGAAGGGUUGUAGAUUAAUACUCUGCAAUUUUGACGUUACCGACAGAAUAAGCACCGGCUAACUCUGUGCCAGCAGCCGCGGUAAUACAGAGGGUGCAAGCGUUAAUCGGAAUUACUGGGCGUAAAGCGCGCGUAGGUGGUUCGUUAAGUUGGAUGUGAAAUCCCCGGGCUCAACCUGGGAACUGCAUCCAAAACUGGCGAGCUAGAGUAUGGUAGAGGGU